rnacentral:rRNA from 1 species
AGUGAACGCUGGCGGUAGGCCUAACACAUGCAAGUCGAACGGCAGCACAGUAAGAGCUUGCUCUUACGGGUGGCGAGUGGCGGACGGGUGAGGAAUACAUCUGAAUCUACUUUUUCGUGGGGGAUAACAUAGGGAAACUUACGCUAAUACCGCAUACGACCUACGGGUGAAAGCAGGGGAUCUUCGGACCUUGCGCGAUUGAAUGAGCCGAUGUCGGAUUAGCUAGUUGGCGGGGUAAAGGCCCACCAAGGCGACGAUCCGUAGCUGGUCUGAGAGGAUGAUCAGCCACACUGGAACUGAGACACGGUCCAGACUCCUACGGGAGGCAGCAGUGGGGAAUAUUGGACAAUGGGCGCAAGCCUGAUCCAGCCAUACCGCGUGGGUGAAGAAGGCCUUCGGGUUGUAAAGCCCUUUUGUUGGGAAAGAAAAGCAGCAGGUUAAUACCCCGCUGUUCUGACGGUACCCAAAGAAUAAGCACCGGCUAACUUCGUG